GACGAACGCUGGCGGCGUGCUUAACACAUGCAAGUCGAACGGAAAGGCCCUGCUUUUGUGGUGUGCUCGAGUGGCUAACGGGUGAGUCACACGUGAGUAACCUGCCCUUGCUUUUGCGAUCACUUCAGGAAACUGGGGCUAAUACCGGUUAUUACCUCCUGCUGCAUGGUGUGGUUUGGAAAGUCUCGGCGGUUGGGGAUGGACUCGCGGCUUAUCAGCUUGUUGGUGGGGUAGUGGCUUACCAAGGCUUUGACGGGUAGCCGGCCUGAGAGGGUGACCGGCCACAUUGGGAAUGAGAUACGGCGCAGACUCAGACGGGAGGCAGGAGUGGGGAAUAGUGCACAAUGGGCGGAAGCCUGAGGCAGCAACGCCGCGUGCGGGAUGACGGACUUCGGGUGGUAAACAGCUUUCGCCUGUGACGAAGCGUGAGUGACGGUAAUGGGUAAAGAAGCACCGGCUAACUACGUG
rnacentral:rRNA from 1 species